rnacentral:lncRNA from 1 species
CAGAGCUCAGCUGGUAAUGCUUGCUCGCCCCCUGCUCACCUCCUGCUGUAUGGCCCAGUUCCUAACAAGCCACAGACCAGACCAGUCCAUGGCCUGGGGGUUGGGAUCCCUGCCUUAUAAGAAAAAUAAAUUUGGGGCGUGAGCCACCACGCCCAGCUGUGGCUUGCAAUUUUAAGACCAAGAGAGCCCCUGGCAAACUGGGGCAAGAAAGGAUAAGGAGCCCAAAUGACAGCUAGCCAGAACUUUCAUGUCUACAAAGGAGAAAAGUGAUGCUCAAAGUUGUGAUCUGCCAAGAGUCGCCAGUGAUAUAGUUUGGAUGUGUGUUCCCUCCGAAUCACAUGCUGAAAUGUGAUCCCCAAGGUUAGAGGUGGGGCCUGGUAGGAAGUGUUUGGGUCAUGGAGGUGGAUUCCUUGUGAAUGGUUUGAUGCUGUUCUCAUGUUAAUGAGUGAGUUCUCGCUCUGAGUUCAUGCAAGACCUGGUUAUUAAAAAGAGUCGGGGUUCCCCUCCCAAUUCCACCUCUCUUGCUCCCUCUCGCCACAUAUGCUGGCUCCCCUUCACCUUCUGCCAUGAUUGGAAGCUUCCUGAAGCCCUCACCAGAAGCAAAUGCCAACACUAUGCUUCGUGUACAGCCUUCCGAACUGUGAGCCAAAUAAACCUCUUUUCUUUGUAAAUUACCCAGGCUCAGGUAUUCCUUUACAGCAACGCAAAUUGACUAAUACACAAAAUUGGUACUGAGGAGUAGGGUGUUGCUAUAAAGAUAGAUACCUGAAGGUGUGGAAGUGGCUUUGGAGCUAAGUAAUGGGAAGAGGUAGAAGAGUUUG